rnacentral:rRNA from 1 species
GACGAACGCUGGCGGCGUGCCUAAUACAUGCAAGUCGAACGCUGAAGGAGGAGCUUGCUUCUCUGGAUGAGUUGCGAACGGGUGAGUAACGCGUAGGUAACCUGCCUGGUAGCGGGGGAUAACUAUUGGAAACGAUAGCUAAUACCGCAUAAGAGUAGAUGUUGCAUGACAUUUGCUUAAAAGGUGCAAUUGUGUCACUACUAGAUGGACCUGCGUUGUAGUAGGUAGUUGGUGGGGUAACGGCUCCCCAAGGCGACGAUACAUAGCCGACCCGAGGGGGUGAACGGCCCAACUGGGAAUGGGACAAGGCUCAGACCCCCAAGGGAGGCCGCAGUAGGGAAUCUUCGGCAAUGGACGGAAGUCUGAACGAGGCACGCCGCGGGGGUGGAGAAGGGUUUCGGGUCGGAAAGCUCUGUUGUAAGGGAAGAACGAGUGUGAGAGUGGAAAGUUCACGCUGUGACGGUAUCUAAACAGAAAGGGACGGCUAACUACGUG